CCGCUGGUGUGUGUGUACGCGCGCGCUCUCCAUGCAACACUGAACGGAGCGUGUGUGAAGCAGCAGGCGGAGGCGGCGCUCAGGUCACCUGUGCUGAACACCUGGAACACCUGUCAGAAAUUCAUACAGCAGGCGGAGAGGUGUGGAGCAUCAGCCGAGGAGCGUCUGCAGGUUCAUCAGCGUGCAGUGGAGACUCUGGGCCUCGCCUGUUACACACCAGGAGCGUUCAGCAGCCUCUUCUAUCUGGCCUACAGUUUUCAUGAUGACGUGGUGGAGGGAAUCCUGGCCAACACCAACUGUGGAGGGGAGAACUGUAACCGUGGAGCAGCAUUAGGAGCUCUUCUGGGUGCGCGGGCGGCUCACAUCGGCUCCUCCGUCCCUCAGCACUGGAAGAGCGGCCUGCUGGACACACAACAACACACUGUUCACGACAUCCUGCACAAUCUCAACACACACACUCCUGUCUGACACACUUCUGAUAUCUGUGUGUGUGUGUGUGUGUGUGUGAGAGAGAGAGAGAGAGCAUGUGUGUGAGUGUGAGAAAGACUGUAAUUGUCUGAAUGUGUAGUGUGUGAGCGUGUGUGAAUAUGAGUGUGUGCACAUGUGUGAGAGUGAGUGUGUAAGUGUGUGCGUCUGAGUACGAGAGUGUAUGUAAAUGUGUGUGUGUGUGUGUGCUGCAGGAAGUUCUGCCCACACGUGUGGUUUCCCGCCUGCUCUGUGUUGGUGUUUCUCUUCUUCUGUGUUUCUGUGACCCACUUGCAGAACACACACGUUCAUUAGCUGACGUCAGUGUGUGUGUGUGUGUGUGUCAGAGAAGCAGGAUUGUAAUCUCCACACACUGUAGAAAUGUCCAUAAAUGAGCAGUUAACUGUGUUUUGUUGUUAUUUUCCUUCAUUAUUGUUAUUAUUAUUUAUUUAUUUAUUUCUGCUCGUGUGUGUAGUAUAGUGUGUGCAGUGCUGUAUUGUGUGUGUUGGUGUUGUAUAUUACACUACAGAAAGCUUGUAAUAAACUGCAGCACAUUUACUGCAGUUUUACACACUUAUUCCUCCAGAUAUUAUUGAUUAUACAUUAUAUUAUUACUCAAAUGUCUAUAAAAGUCACUUUGUUAAACUGUAGAGUUGAAUUUACAACAUCAGAAGUGGACAGAGCAGAUCAACAUCCCAUAAUGCAGUUCAGCACCACACAUAAACACUAAACACAGAAUACAGAAGCUGCUCACUACUGGAUAUCGUCUACAGUGUGUGUGUGUGUGUGUGUGUGUGUGUGUGUGUGUGUGUGUGUGUGUGUGUGUGUGUGUGUGUGUGUGUGUGUGUGUGAUUAAUAUCAAUGUUUUGAAAUCCAGCAUUCAUCUUUAUUGAUUGUCUCCCUGCUCUGUCUGUAACUGAACUGCUGUAUAUGUCAUGCGUGCAGACGCUGCUGUAGCUGAUCUUCUGCAGUUCAGUCUGUUGUGUUGUGAAUAGAUAAGCUGAAGUGCUGUGAUAUUUAGAUUUUUCUGUAUCAUUAAAUGCAGUUGUAAUCCUGCAUUCAUAUUUAUUCCUUUUAUAGGGCAUUCGAUCUUUAAACAGCAUUCACAUCAUAACAGUCUCAAUUCUGUUGUUUAUUAAUAUUGUUAUUUGCAUGAACUAUUGCACAUUACAGUGUGGAGGCAUAUAUAAUAAAUGAUCUUUAGCUAUAAAUGAGCUG